UGGUCAAAGGCAUGACUUCUGGGCUGUCAGGUGAACAAGGCCUGAAGACCUCAUGUAAAAACUGGUGACUGGAGCUGCUAACUCCGUACUGUGACUCUACACUGUACGAUUGAUCUUUGCUGGGAGUAGAGCUUCAGUGUUCUUGCACACGGAAAGAUAGGUGAGGUGAUGAUGUGCUAGUCGGUCAGGCGGGGGAGUGGGGAGCCCUUCCGGCGUGAGUCUGUGUAUCCCAUCAGCGCAGCACACUCUUUAAAUAUCUUGUCCGUUCUGCCUCGACAAAGCUGAACAAACCCCCCACAUCGAGUGGAGGUUUCGGGGGGAUGCUGGUGUGUGCAGCCUGGGAUGGGUUUGCACCUGCCUGGUUGGUACAAAGCCCCCCUGCGCCCUGGCUGGAGGUGCAGGGCCCUCAGAGAGAGCCACCUGGCUGCCUGAAGGGCUGGUUGGCCACAGGGGCCCCACGCUGAUGGACGAGUUCAGGGAGACAGGCUGUAGUCAAUCCGAAGCAACUUGGGGCCUGAUUUGAAAUUCAAAUCCUGGCUAAACAGAAAAUUAAUAUGAAUUUCGUAUUCUGUGAUUCUCACAGACUGAGCUGCGUGUGUGCCAGGCCGGCCUGGGGCGCUGCGGGCUUCAUGGCGUGGGACCUCCGGCUGCCUCUCCGCCCCGCCCCACCGCAGCCCCACGCCCCAGAACCGAGGGUGCUGGAGGAGAACAGCUGCUCUCUCCAGAUGUUUCUCCUGCAGGGAAAUGACAAAACAGAACAGAGAAAUGACUGGGGCCAGCCUCCCCUGGCAGAGGGUCAUAUUAGUACAUUAGUGGAACAUCUCUCCUCUAUCCUGGCGUCUGUGACCACUGCCCCUGCCCCCCGCUCAGCCCUUGGUAUGGGAUAGUGUUCUCCUGAAUAUCAUACACAUUCCGCGAGGUGCACAUGAUGCUGGGCUCAAGAUGACAGCUUCGGGGAACAAGGGAGCUGCUUGGGCUGAUGGAAAUGCUCUCUUGACUGUGGAGAUGGUUCCAUGACCACAUGUAUUUGUUAAAAUUUAUACAACUGUACACUAAAAAGAGUGAGUUUAACUGUAUGUGCAUUAUGCCUCAGUUAAAAAUAUUCUUCCGCGGGGCAGCCCCGGUGGCUCAGGGGUUUAGCGCUGCCUUUGGCCCAGGGCCUGAUUCUGGAGACCCGGGAUCGAGUCCCACGUCACGGAGCCUCCCUGCAUGGAGCCUGCUUCUCCCUCUGCCUGUGUCUCUGCCUCUCUCUCUCUCUCUGUGUCUCUCGUGAAUAAAUAAAUAAAAUCUUAAAAAAAAUUUUUUUCC
rnacentral:lncRNA from 12 species